AAAGAACGCAGUUUUGUGUUUUAGUAUCUAAUGUUUAACCGUUCAUUUUAUUUUAAAAAAUUUGUGAUUGGUAUUUUUAUUAUUAUUAGAUGAUAAAAUAUAAAUAGUAUAUUAAGUGUGACUAAUUUUUGUUAAUUGUUUUAUAAAUUUUUUAAAUAAGAUAACAGUCAAAUGUUAGAUACAGAAAUCGACCUAAA
rnacentral:pre_miRNA from 1 species